rnacentral:rRNA from 1 species
UACGGAGGGUGCAAGCGUUAUCCGGAUUCACUGGGUUUAAAGGGUGCGUAGGUGGAUCGGUAAGUCCGUGGUGAAAUCCCUGAGCUUAACUCAGGAACUGCCGUGGAUACUAUCGAUCUUGAGCCAGCUAGGGGCUACCGGAACAAAUGGUGGAGCGGUGAAAUGCGUAGAUAUCAUUUGGAACGCCAAAGGUGAAAACAGGUAGCUGGGGCUGUGCUGACACUGAGACACGAAAGCCAGGGGAGCAAACGGGG